GCGCCGGGCGCUGGCGAGCCCUCGGCCGUGGGCGGGAGGAGGAGGGUUCGGGGAGCAGCUGGCAGCGGCGACACUCCGCCAGCAGCUGCCAGGGACGGGGCGAAAGCAGCGGCAGGCGGGGGAGACAAGCCUCGGCAAGCAACUGGCAGAAAGGGCAAGGCCAGGAAGGCACCGGAGGACGACGAGCCUUUGUCAGCAGCGGGCAGGGAUGAGCGUCCGGAGGCAGCAGGCACGAGGGGAAAGGUGCGGCAAAGGGCAGACAGGAAGGCCGAGGGCGAGGUGGCAGCCGAGGGCGAGGUGGCAGCCGAGGGCGAGGUGGCAGCCGAGGGCGAGGUGGCAUCCGAGGAGUCACCUCAAGAAGACAGCGACGCGUCAACACUAGAAGAUGAGAGUGACGAAUCAGUGUGAUGUUAUCCAUCCUGGUUGAGAUAGCAUGAUAUGAAAUACAUAGAAUAUGCCUAUCUUUUCUCUCCCAUCUCCAAGCUUUUAUGAUUAAUGCUGAUGAUAACAAAAGCAGAAAUAAUAACAGCAAUAAAAUUUAUGAUAGUGGUAAUAACGACAACAAAAAUCAUAUCAAUGGUAUUGGAAAUUAUAGUACUAAGGACAAUGAACAUGAUAAUGAUAAAUUAAUACUAAUAAGGAAAAUAAUGAUGAUGACAUCGAAAAUUAUAAUGAAAAUGAUAAUAAAUAGUUGUAUUAAU